GUACCACAUAUAUAUUCAGCCGCUCCAUCUCCUUCAACGAUCGCUUCGAGUAGUGGGCCGACGCCAAAUCUGGCCAGAACACCGUGUCUUCGCCCUUAUGGUAUUUCUUGAUGAACGAUGCAACUUAUGGAAGCCACUUCGUAUGAUAAAUUUUCCCGUUCACGGCCAGCCCGGAGCGAAAGAAGAGCGGCUUCGACAUCCCCUUCUCGCUGAGUGUCGGCCAUAGUAGCACUUUCUUGGGGAACUUGGUGUGUGAAAUAAAUUUCACUUCGGAGCUCACUUCCUUCGUGGGAGAAGUGAAAUACGAAGUACCCUGCCAGUCGUUGCCAUCCAUCACCACUGCCACGUCGCGAUUCGCCGAGAAAAUCGACUUGACCAUCUUAUUCAGGCGCUGUCGCUGCGUCAUUGCCUGCAGCUCCGAGAUCAGUGGACGGGACCACCGCUUCCUGACAUGUAUGCUCAUGUUCUCCAGAUACUUUUUCACUGUUUCAUUGCAUGCACCAAACUCCCGGCCAAGUGCACGCAGCGAUUUAGCCACUUUUCCCUCGGUCUUCCUCUUCAGCAUCCUUUGAAGCUUCUUGUCGCUCAGGAUCGUUGGCCGUCCGAAACCGGGCUUUCUAUCGAUGCUCUGAUCAUUAUGCAAAAGUGUCAUGAUGUUGUAGAUGCCGGAACGGGCAUACCUGGCGUCCACAAAGUGCCGCACGAUGUCCGUUUUUGACGCGGCGGGGUAUCGUUCUUUGAACGCGCACACUUCUGAACGGAGUAGCUUCACUUUUUUUUUGUCAUCACAGUUAGAGUUUGACUGAUAGAGCUGUCAAAUUUGUUUUGCUAACUCAUGGGUUACUAUGAUUGAUGAUGCAUGAGUAGUUUCGUGAGUGCGAUUAAAGGUAAACCCAUGAAAAAUCGGCAAUUUUUGUCCAUUUUUUUUACCGCAAACGUUGAAAUUGUUUUCUGUUCCGUAUAAUUGGUUAUCUUAUAACGUAUGCGUUAAAAAAAAUCCUUUUUUGGGAUGGUGGUAAAAAAAAUUACUAAGACAGAUAACUGAGUUUGAUAACUUUCCCAUGGAAGGUAAUUAUAUUAGCUCACUCGCAACAAAAUGCUACGCCUUGCGUUCAGCCUUCCGGCAGUUAACCGGUACAUUCGCCAUGGCGGACGAAAACAUACGUGUAGGCAUAUUUUUGACGUAGAACUACGUUUUACUUUAGCAUACCACACAGGGAUGCAAACUGAAAAACUGGGACGAAAUAUGUCCCUUUUCAAAUGCUUAUAGGUCGGUUGGUUUUCAACCUAUUUUCUUCAUUCUUGCAGCAAUCGAUUGGAAAAUAAUACACGCAUCUGCCCAAAUGCAGAAAAAUGUUGUUUGAAUCUACGAACUAUUGUACUAUUGAAAAUUGUCAAGCCUUGUUGAAAUAAAAAUAACGUCCUCUGAUUGGUCGCUUGCUUGCUGUGUGUGUAUGGUAUGGUAUCAUGUGUGUAUGUGUGUAUGUGUAUGAUAUAGUAUGAUGUGUGUAUGGUGUAAUGAUAUGGUAUGAUGUGUGUGUGUCUAUGAUAUGGUAUGAUUUGUGUGUGUGUGCUGUGUAUGGUUUUUAACUCGGCACGAUCUGCUAACUGCUGAAUCCGGUUCACGAAAUUCACAACCCUUCAUUAGUAGACAUUAUAACUCAUUACCCAAGUAAAAAUAUUGGUUUUAUCAAAGUUUUAUAGCGCUCAAUACAGCCAAAAAAGUGCCAUAAAACUUUGAUAAAAACAGUUGUGUUACUAGGGUAAUGAAACACUCAAUGCAUUUGUUAAUAGUGUACGUAGUUCUACGUCAUUUAUGCGGUCGUGUCUUGGAUACAACCUCCUACUUUUUUAAUUCUUUCUUCGUUUUAUUUAUCAAUUCCUUCUCAGUUUUUGCAGCAAAAUUGUUGGAAUAGAUCUUACGCUUCAGGCUUGCCCAGAAAUCCUCGAUGUGACGCAACUCGAGGACGUUGGGCCAGUUCGGAGCGAAAGAAGAGCAGCUUUGACCUCCCCUUUGGAGCUUCUUGCCGCCCAGGGUCGUCGGCCGUCUGGAACCGGGCUUUCUUUCAAUGCGCUGAUUGUUGUUCAAUAGUACCAAGAUGUUGUAGAUGCCGGUACGGGCGUAUUCGAUGGUCACGAACUGCUGCACGCUGUCCAUUUUCGACGCGACAGGAUACCGUUCUUUGAACGCGCGAACAUAUUAUUGGAAUAGCUUCACUGUUUUCGCCAUCACGGUUAGAGUUCGACUGAUAGAGCUAUCCAAUUUUUUCUGCUGACUCAUUGGUCAAUAUGAUUGAUGCUGCAUGCGUAGUUUCGUCAGUGGAGUAAAGUGUCAUUCGUUUCAUCAUGGCGUCCGAAGAGGCAAACGAGGAGAUCUUUGCGAAUUAUAUGGUAGACGGAGGAUUAAUGGUAUUAUUAAAACCAUUCUAUGAAAGUUUAAAGCCAGCAGCUAUGAUGUGGGAUCUCUGAAAAUAAUCGUACGAGAAGAAACAAGAGCUGUGUUGCAGCCACUUUUGUUGGCUGAUACAAAUUCGUCAAAUGAACAACUCUGACCCUCCAAGUAUAAAUAAUAAUUACAAUAUAUAAACAUGGUUUAAGAAAUAACAUAUGGCAAUAAAUUAUAUAAAUAAAAAUAACAGUAUAAAAUGGUUGAACCAAUUUUUUUGAAUCUAUUGAUUUAACAAGCAUCAGUUGAUUUAACGAUCAUUGUAGUUGAAUUUACAAAACCGGUGACGAGCUGUCAAAAUCUAAUAACAAAGUAUAGUUGUUUCAACCAUAAAUUUGGUUUGGGUCAAGCACAUUAUAUAGUUGAUUCAACUGAAGACAAUUAUUGCAUCAAUCAUGACAAUGGAUUAUACAAAAAUCAAUGCAAAAUUAUAGUUGGUUCGACCCUUAUUAUUAUAGCUUUGCCUACUUAUUUUUCUCCGUGUGGUUGAAGAAAAAAAUGCACCUUGAUAAUUUCUUUAUUUUUCACUCUAAAUAACGAUUUUCUGAUAGCCAAAAGCACAGUUAUACCGAACAUUUUAAACAUAACAUUCACACACAUAUAUACAACCAUACAGCAUACAUUAACAACACGUACACAUGCAAAUAACAUGAAAUAUAAUAUAUGACGCGGAUUUUUUUUUAAGAUCUACAAAAAUGAGGGCUUCGAAAUUAUUUAUUUUUGUUCUGUGUAAUCAAUGGACGUUCCCUAAUUGAUUAAAAAACUAGAGGAGAAAUUAAAAAAAAAUUGAAAUAAAUUAAAGAGAACUAAG